rfam:Drosophila ficusphila unplaced genomic scaffold scf7180000453930, whole genome shotgun sequence
CACCUGCACCCCGCAGCCCGGAUUUUGUGGGAGCUGCGCUGUUUAUACUCCAAAGUCCGUAGCACCACAUGAUUCGGCUUCGUGGCGCAGGAC